rnacentral:rRNA from 1 species
GAAUUUUAUAAUUUUAUUUUAUAAUGAUUUUAUUUAUAUUUAUGUGAAAUAUAAUUAUUUAGUUGGGAGGACUCUUAAAUUAACUUAACUUUAAGAUUAUUAAAUCAUUUAAUUAUUGAAUUAAUUGAUUAUUAAUUAUAUAUAUAAGAAUUAAUUACCUUAGGGAUAACAGCGUAAUACUUUUGGGUAGUUCUUAUAAAUAAAAGUGAUUGC